rnacentral:lncRNA from 1 species
ACUAGCUGUGUGAAUUUGCACAGGCUGUUUGCGGCUCUCAAUCUUUUUUUUUUUUUCCUCCCUCAGGAAAACAGUCUGUGGGAUUUCUUCUGUUUCCCGGUUCCAGAUCCAAUGAACUCCUUUCUCCAAUCUUGUACCAACACUGGGAGCCUUGACAAGCACAGUGUGUGGCUGCCAUUAAGAGAAAAUGUGUCAUGCAACCAGCUAUUCUAAGCACCAGUGACUGGCAAAAGGAGGAUGGAGUGGUGGUGUCCUCACGGUAGGCUUACCGGCGCUUGGGGGCAAAUGGGGAAGUCCAGGGCAUAAACUGUGGUCCUGGAAAAACUUGUGUGAAUAUGAAGAAGUCCUGGAGGGACGAUAGGCAUAACGUAAGAGGCAGCAGUGGUAAGUAUACAGCUGUUAUCUGCAGAAGCUUAUGAUUUUCUCUUUGUUGAAAGUAAAUCCAUGUCAAACAUUGUUCUAGGCAAUUCAUAUAGAUUACUUCACUUAAUCCUCAUGACAAUGCAAUAAGGUCAGUAUUAUUAUGCUCUUUAUAUUACAAAUGAGGACUCCAAAAAAAAAAAAAACAUGAAUAAGCAAGUAAUUUGCCCAAGUUAUACAAAUAACAUAUUGCUGAGGUAGGAUUUGAUUUGAACCCAACAAAUCAAACUCUGGAACCCAAUAUCAUAUUUUAGGUAUAAUUUAUAUACAGUAAGAGGGCCUUGUUUGGUUUAUAAUUCUAUGAGUUUUGGUACAUGUACCCAACCUUGUAACUGCUACCUACUCAAGAUGUAGAACAGUUUUAUCAUUUUCCCUAAUCUCCUUAUGAAUGCCCUUUUCUAAUCAGUCCCCUCCCCUUUUCCCAGUCCCUGGAAAUCACUGAUCUGUCUGUUUUCUUUAUAGUUUUCACUUUUCCAGAAUGUCCUAUCAAUGGAAUAAUAAAGCAUGAAGGCUCUUGAGU